GAUGAACGCUGGCGGCGUGCCUAAUACAUGCAAGUCGAGCGAAUGGAUUGAGAGCUUGCUCUUAUGAAGUUAGCGGCGGACGGGUGAGUAACACGUGGGUAACCUGCCCAUAAGACUGGGAUAACUCCGGGAAACAGGGGCUAAUACCGGAUAACAUUUUGAACCGCAUGGAUCGAAAUUGAAAGGCGGCUUCGGCUGUCACUUAUGGAUGGACCCGCGGCGCAUUAGCUAGUUCGGGAGGUAACGGCUCACCAAGGAAACGAUGCGUAGCCGACCUGAGAGGGUGAUCGGCCACACUGGGACUGAGACACGGCCCAGACUCCUACGGGGGGCAGCAGUAGGGAAUCUUCCGCAAUGGACGAAAGUCUGGCGGAGCAACGCCGCGUGAGUGAUGAAGGCUUUCGGGUCGUAAAACUCUGUUGUUAGGGAAGAACAAGUGCUAGUUGAAUAAGCUGGCACCUUGACGGUACCUAACCAGAAAGCCACGGCUAACUACGUGCCAGCCGCCGCCGUAA
rnacentral:rRNA from 1 species